UACGGAGGAUGCAAGCGUUAUCCGGAAUCACUGGGCGUAAAGGGUGCGUAGGCGGGUCUUUAAGUCAGGGGUGAAAUCCUGGAGCUCAACUCCAGAACUGCCUUUGAUACUGAAGAUCUUGAGUUCGGGAGAGGUGAGUGGAACUGCGAGUGUAGAGGUGAAAUUCGUAGAUAUUCGCAAGAACACCAGUGGCGAAGGCGGCUCACUGGCCCGAUACUGACGCUGAGGCACGAAAGCGUGGGGAGCAAACAGG
rnacentral:rRNA from 1 species